rnacentral:rRNA from 1 species
CUGCCUGCCCUGUGACCUAAUAGUUUAACGGCCGCGGUAUCCCAACCGCGCGAAGGUAGCGAAAUCACUUGUUUUUUAAAUGGAGACCAGUAUGAACGGCUUUACGAGGGCCAAACUGUCUCCUCUUUCUAGUCAAUGAAAUUGAUCUCCCCGUGCAGAAGCGGGGAUACCUCCAUAAGACGAGAAGACCCUAUGGAGCUUUAGACAAAAGACAGCCCACUUAAAAGUUUACUAAAUCAAUGAAAACAACAAAGUGACCUUCUGUCCUUAUGUCUUUGGUUGGGGCGACCAUGGAGCAACAAAAAACCUCCACGUGGAAUGGGGACUACCCCCUCAAAGCCAGAGCCACAGCUCUCACAAACAGAAAAUCUGACCAAUAAGACCCGGCACAAGCCGAUCAACGGAAUGAGUUACCCUAGGGAUAACAGCGCAAUCCUCUUUUAGAGCCCAUAUCGACAAGAGGGUUUACGACCUCGAUGUUGGAUCAGGACCCCCUAAUGGUGCAGCCGCUAUUAAGGGUUCGUUUGUUCAACGAUUAAAGUCCUACGUGAU